AUGGAGAAUAUGCUGGGAUAUGCAUUAAUAGUCAUGUGCCUUCAGUUUGACUGGUCAAGUGGAGAAGACCAAGUGGAACAGAGUCCUCGGGCACUGAUACUCCAGGAGGGAGAUGAUUCCAGCCUCAACUGCAGUUACUCAGCCACCUAUUUUAGAAGCCUACAGUGGUAUAAGCAAGAUCCUGGGGAAGGUCCUGAAUUCCUCUUCCUCCUGUAUUCAGUUGGGGAAAAAAAGCAGAAAGAGAGACUUAGAGGCACGUUAUCAAAACAGGAAAGUUCCCUGCACAUCACAGCCUCUAAACCUGAAGACUCAGCCACUUACUUCUGUGCUGUGGACACAGUGCUCUCCUGGCACCUGCAGCUUAUACGAAAACCCUACAGCUGUGCUCUUGAAUAA